rnacentral:lncRNA from 7 species
ACAGGACUUCAAAAUCCGUUCCUCUGCUUGCUUUGUGCCAAUUCCUGUUUUUGGAUUCAGGGGACAACCCUUAGGGUGAAGUUGUCAUGAAUUCAGCUACUCAGUUGUCAUCUUCACUGGAGCUGGUUGAGUCAUUCCCACAUGCAGCGUCCUUGCACAUUUUAUAAUGGUGUUGACUUAAAUUCCAAGAGAUGUUGCCAUAAAUAAGGAGAAUGUUAGGACUAAUUUGCUCUUUGCAGAAGCACUUAACUUCACACUAAGCUUGUCUGCUGUCAAAUUCAGGAUCCACUUCACAGAAUGUGAUAGCAUAUAUUUUUUUCAAGGAAAAGAAAAUGCUUAUUACUGACUGCUUAAGCAAGAGAUCUUGAAGAUAGUCUCCAUAUAACCUGACUGAAUUCCUAUUAGUCCUCUCUACUCAAGAUCUCUCAAUCUUAGUUAAUUUAAAUUAGAAAAUUUCAGUGGAGUUUACAAACCCUGUAUAGUUAGAUUUUGAGAUUAUGCAUUUAAUUCUGAGAAAAGAAGGUCCCAUAAAAACUGAAGCUCUGCCUAUGUCUGUGGACAAGUCUGAAAGAAGCGCAUUUCCAUUCAACCUUUAGGAGUACAGCUGUGGUUCACUUCUUCAAGCCAAAAUAUUUUUGCUAGGAAAAGUUUAUUACUUUUCUCUCUACUGAGAUGUAAAUGUCAGAUUGUUCUAACUUCAAAUGUUUGGUGUUUAGGGAAGAGAAGGGCAAAGCCUCUGUCUCAUCCUAAGUAAACAGCUGCUUCUAGGUGUGCAUUACUGUUUUCUGCAUUAAGUCCUUUCAAGGUGCAUGAACUGCAGUAGCUGUUAACAAGAAUGGUAUUCUGUUGCUUAAGGCUCUCUUGCUGUUAAUCUGUUCUGUUCCUUGUAUUACACAUGAAUUAAAACCAAUUAUUUUUGAGGG